AUUUGAAUAGUUUAUAAAAAAUUUUGAUUUGUGGUAUCAAAGAAAUUAGAUUUAUACGUUAAUUUUAAAUU
rnacentral:tRNA from 1 species